rnacentral:rRNA from 1 species
AUAUGCCCAAAGAUCAAGAAGAAAUUGGACAAGAACACUGAAUUUGCUGCUAACUGCCAUGUAUCUGAAGCUGGACAACAGAUGUUCAGAGUUCAGUCAAGUAACAAUAGCUACACAGUUGAUCUUGGUUUGUACACAUGUGAUUGCAGGAGAUGGCAGUUGUCAGGAGUACCAUGUGGGCAUUCAAUAGCUUGUUGCAGGGAGGAGAGGAUUGACCCAGAGACAUUUGUGCAUGAGUGCUACACUGUGAGGACAUAUCUGAAAGCAUAUGGAUAUACUCUUGUCCCUUUAGAAGACCCAAAUGUGUGGGAGGUACAGAAUGCUUACAAGGUGUAUCCACCUGUGUUUACAAAAUAG